GAUGAACGCUGGCGGCGUGCCUAAUACAUGCAAGUCGAGCGAACGGACGAGAAGCUUGCUUCUCUGAUGUUAUCGGCGGACGGGUGAGUAACACGUGGAUAACCUACCUAUAAGACUGGGAUAACUUCGGGAAACCGUAGCUAAUACCGUAUAAUAUUUUGAACCGCAUGGUUCAAAAGUGAAAGACGGUCUUGCUUUCACUUAUAGAUGGAUCCGCGCUGCAUUAGCUAGUUGGUAAGGUAACGGCUUACCAAGGCAACGAUGCAUAGCCGACCUGACAGGGUGAUUGGCCACCCUGGAACUGAGACACGGUCCAGACUCCUAGGGGAGGCAGCAGUAGGGAAUCUUCCGCGAUGGGCGAAUGCCUGACAGAGCAACGCCGCCUGAGUGAUGAAGGUCUUCGGAUCGUAAAACUCUGUUAUUAGGAAAGAACAUAUGUGUAAGUAACUGUGCACAUCUUGACGGUACCUAAUCAGAAAGCCACGGCUAACUACGUG
rnacentral:rRNA from 1 species